UACGUAGGGGGCGAGCGUUGUCCGGAUUUAUUGGGCGUAAAGAGCUCGUAGGCGGCUCGGUAAGUCGGGUGUGAAAACUCGGGGCUCAACCCCGAGACGCCACUCGAUACUGCCAUGGCUAGAGUCCGGUAGGGGAGCGUGGAAUUCCUGGUGUAGCGGUGAAAUGCGCAGAUAUCAGGAGGAACACCGGUGGCGAAGGCGGCGCUCUGGGCCGGAACUGACGCUGAGGAGCGAAAGCGUGGGGAGCAAACAGG
rnacentral:rRNA from 1 species